rnacentral:rRNA from 1 species
UACGGAGGAGGCCAGCGUUAUCCGGAAUUAUUGGGCGUAAAGCGUCCGUAGGUGGUUGACCAAGUCUGCUGUCAAAGGGUGGGGCUUAACCUCAUAAAGGCAGUGGAAACUGGUGAGCUAGAGUGCGGUAGGGGUAAGGGGAAUUCCAAGUGUAGCGGUGAAAUGCGUAGAGAUUGGGAAGAACAUCGGUGGCGAAAGCGCCUUGCUGGGCCUGCACUGACACUGAGGGAAGAAAGCUAGGGGAGCGAAAGGG